AUUGAACGAUGGCGGCAGGCCUAACAAAUGAAAGUCGGACGAGUGGCGGACGGGUGAGUAAUGUCUGGGAAACUGCCUGAUGGAGGGGGAUAACUACUGGAAACGGUAGCUAAUACCGCCUAACAGCGGAUGUGCCCAGAUGGGAUUAGCUCGUAGGUGGGGUAAAGGCUAACUUAGGCGACGAUCCCUAGCUGGUCUGAGAGGAUGACAAGCCACACGGGAACUGAGACACGGUCCAUACUCCUACGGUAGGCAGCAGUGGGGAAUAUUGCACAAUGGGCGCAAGCCUGAUGCAGCCAUGCCGCGUGUAUGAAGAAGGCCUUCGGGUUGUAAAGUACUUUCAGCGGGGAGGCGUUACCCGCAGAAGAAGCACCGGCUAACUCCGUGCCAGCCGCCGCGGUAAUUC
rnacentral:rRNA from 1 species